ensembl:lncRNA
GGCUAACAAACGUGCUGUUCCCAAUGCUGUUUGUCUGUUGCAUAGCAACAGCCACACAUACAAGGACUAUUUUCUCUAGGCUACUGAUAUGCGAUACACAACGUUUGGUGGCUACAACUAUUUUGUGCUGAAAUGCAGCUUACUAUUUACUUAUUAUUCAUAAUGUCGCUGGCAACCGUAUUAUAAAAGCAAUAAGGUACUCGAGGCAGUACUGUAUCGUCAAUAAUGUAGUGUUCAAGGGUUUGCCGAACAGUACAUUAUUGACGCUACAGUACUGCCUCGAGUACCUUAUUGCUUAAUUAUAAGUACAAUAUAUUAUAAGUACACAUUUGCCAAAAAAGUUAGUUAUGUACCGCAACAAAGUACUAUACAGUAGUUUUGAAAAACUUGCCCCAAUAGAGGGUAAGUUCUGAAUAACUGCUGUAAUGAACAAAAAUACCCACUGGGUGGCAUCACUGGUUUAGAGAGUGGAAUAUUGGAAAGCAGUGUAUAUUUUUCUUGUGUGGACAAGUGUUUUCAGUAAAUAUUUUGACUGUUUGGAAAUAUUCUCUUAAUACUAAAUUACAUAGUGCACGUUUUACCUUUGAUUUUUGGUCUGCAUGGUGACUUGUAAUAUGAAUGUGAUAUUACUGUAAAAUACACUGAUAGAGCUAAUCACACUUUUGUUUAAAAAUAAAAGCUUCACAGUGUUCUAAAAUGACAAUAAUGCACACUCCAAAUGGCAGGUGGUUUAUAAACGUAACUUUGUUCAUCUUAAAAAAAGGUGAAAAUAUAUAUUUUUGAUAAAAAAAACCAGAGAAUAAAAUCUAAGAUAGUCACCUACGAACACUUCAGAAUUGAGAUGUAGAUUCCGACUUUGAGAAGAAAUUAACACACUUGGUCCUACAAGAAAGCCAGGGAACUACUAAGGCCUUGACCAACAGUUUAAUUCAAAAUGGGAACACACACAUCUUCUGAAGUAAAGUAUGCUUUGCAGUGUGGAGAUUCCCUUUAUAGUGCUGAGGGAGAUCAGGUAUGAACUAAAGUCAUGGCAGGAAAGAGGACAAAAGAAUAGAAAUCAGAUGACAGGGACAGGAUAAAAAAGAAUGGGAGUUCACUUAAGCAUGUCCCCCCCCCCCCCCCCCCCCCCUCAUUACCCUACACUGUUCUCUCUGGGUUCAUCCAAUCAUGUCUGAGUUGUUGCUACGGCUAGCUCAGCCUCCCGGUGCUUAUUGUGCGUUUCCUGGUAAGUAGUACUCAACAGUAGUACCAUCCGCAGUCGCAAUAGAAGGAGCAGCAUCGUUCCGGAGCUUUCGUCUUUCCUGUUUACGCAUCGCCACCCACCACAGCAGCAGCCCUUUUAGCAGCAUCAACAGCACCCGCAGCCGCAAUAGCAGCAGCGCCAGCAGCAGCAGCAUCGUCCCGGAGCUUUUGUUUUUCCAUUCUAAGCAUAUGCUUCGCCACACUAGCCUUCAUAUUAGCCAUCUUAGUCCCUUGUUCUUUCUUUAGUUGCCUCUUGGAAAGAGGAAUAACAUGAAGGAGAUUACUAACAAACUGUUGAUUGCUAUGGAAACUCAUGACCUCUGGUUGUUCUGCUGGUGGUGUCAUGGUCAUCCCGCUCUCUGUUGACGUUUCACUAUUUGAUGACAAAGGUGCUACCUUUAGGACCUUGAGGAAACGUUCUUUCUUGUUCUUUGAUGAGCCCUGCAUCUGUGACACCCCGAGGUACGUCUCUGACGUCACCCGUUGGGGUGGGAACGAUGGGAGAAGCGGGUAAGGUGAAUGUGGAAAGGGAGGGUUUAGGAAUGAUGGAUGCGGGGGUGGCUGGAAGUGGGGCGGUGGAGGCAGAUACGGUGGGGGGUGUGGUGGUGUUGGUGGAGGCAGAUGAGAUGGGGGUAGGAGUGGUGGACACGGGGGUGGCUGGAGGUGGGGCGGUGGAGGCAGAUGAGGAGGGGGUAGGAGUGGUGGAGGCAGAUGACGUGGAGGUUGUGGGGGUGGAGGCUGAUGAGGUGGAGGUUGUGAUGCUGGUAGUAGUGGUGGAGGAGGUCCCAAGUGCUUAGGAUACUGGGGUGGUGGAAGCCAGUAUGGUGCAUUGUGGGAGCCUGUGACCAUCAAAGGCGGAGGGGUGAACUGAGGGGUCCCUGGUAAUAUGUUGCCAAGAGGUGGGCCAUACGAACAGGGAGGGCCAGGCGGCGGCACCCCACUCCACCCAACAGCAGUCCAGCUCUGGACAGAGGCACUGUGGUCCUGGCCAUCAUAGGCUGUAUAGCUAGAAUAGUUUGUUGGUGGAGGCUGUGAGAAUGUGGACACGGGCAUAUUCUGGGGAGCAGGGCCGACAGGGUAGCUUCCAGUAGAACACGGUACUGAUUGAACUGACUCAGGCGGGUCUGUUUCGGAAACCCUCAGUGGGCGCUCGGUGUCACGGUAACCUUUGGUCUCUUUAGAGCUACGUCGCCUGUGGUGAGAAUCUGAGGAUUGAUCAUCUGUGCUGUCUGACCAUGAAGAGUCCCUGUGCCGUCGUCGUUGCUGCCUGCCUUCCCCCCCGCCUCUUGGAGUCUUCAUCCCAUAGAGCUUCUCUUGGGUCCUAUUCCUCAGUCGGUCCAGCUCCUCAAACCCUAAGUCCAGCCCCACUGUCUGGAGGAGGGUCUGGACCGUCGAGAGGUGUUGCUCUUUCUCCAUCUUCCUCUCGUUCUCUGAGGUCGAUGACCUGCUCCUGCUCCUGCUCUUCCUGCUGCUGCUACGGUCUCUUGAGUAUCUUCUCUUUGGGCGUGGGGAAUAUUGUCUGUGGUCCCUUGAGUCCUGGCCCUUGUCUCUGUCUCCCGGGUCCCUUCUGCUUCUCCUUUCAUCCGAGUGGCUGUGUCUAGAGUCGUCUCUCUUGCCUCUCCAACCUCUGUUCUUCUCUUCCUCUGAGUCUCUGAGUUUGUCUCUGGAGUGCCUGUCCUUGUCUUUUGAGUGACUGUUCCCAUCUCUGGAGUCCCAAUUCAUUGCAGAUCUCUUCCUUGCAGCUGGAGGACUUCCCCUACUAUUUCUUCUGCUGCUACUGUUGGAGGUGAAAUAGUCAGAAAAUGCAUGUUUAGACUCGUGCUCCUCUGAAGACCUCAACUGAUAUGACUGUUCCAGAGCCUUCGUGGGCACACUGCUGGGUGCAGCUGCGUUCACGAUGUCAGAGAGCCUCCCUACAUCUACCCCUUGGUUAAGAACACUGAGGAAACGAUCAAAGCCCUUCGAUGUCGAUGGUGGUCCACUGUCGUGGGUUCCCUGUGUGUUGAAGAGAUCGGGCUGUUCAGAUGCACUCUGCUGAGGAAGAAAAGUGAAGGGAUUACAUGUGGUGUGAGUGAAAAGUGAAUGAAGUACACACACAAAAUCUUUACGAAUAAUGAAGUAUAAAUAAAACAUGUUGGCGGAGUCAGUUCAAAACACAAAAAAGUUUGCAAACCCGACCUUGGUAACCAGAGAUGACGCUAGCUCUGAGUUGUGGUGAUGUCUUAGUGCCUCCCUCAGUUCUUGAGUGAGGGUUGUGUUGGCAUCUGAUUCAGGGUUCUGUUUUUGCUCGAAAUCUCUCUGGAAGAUUUUGGCAUUUCUCCUCUCCACAAAACUUUUCAUGGAUGAAGGCGGGGCAGGAUUAGAGGGCUAAAGCCAGACAUAAAACAUGCAGGUUAUUAAUACUUUCAGCACUAAAGGAUUUUGAUCUCACAGUAUGCGGUAUUUAAUGAUUGCAAUGAAGCUCGUUGCCAUUUAUAUGUCCCUUGAAGCACACAUGAGGCAUUAUUGUAUAUUCAGUCCCAGGAAUUUUAAGAUAUUAGAAACUGGACAACCAGCUCCCUGGCACAGUCAUUCAUUUGUAUCAUAGGCAAAGUUUAGGAUUUUUUAACCUGGGCCCUAUUUUCCUAUCUUUUAGAGUGAUCGAAAUCAGUACGGGGAAUUUAGUUUUGGAGCUAUAACUGGCAACCACAGACAAUACAAUGUAAUCACGUGGAGUGUAUGC